rnacentral:rRNA from 1 species
GAUGAACGCUGGCGGCGUGCUUAACACAUGCAAGUCGAACGGUGAAGGCGGAGCUUGCUCUGCUGGAUCAGUGGCGAACGGGUGAGUAACACGUGAGCAAGCUGCCCCUGACUCUGGGAUAAGCGCUGGAAACGGCGUCUAAUACUGGAUACGAGCUGCGCAGGCAUCUUCAGCAGCUGGAAAGAAUUUCGGUCAGGGAUGAGCUCGCGGCCUAUCAGCUUGUUGGUGAGGUAAUGGCUCACCAAGGCGUCGACGGGUAGCCGGCCUGAGAGGGUGACCGGCCACACUGGGACUGAGACACGGCCCAGACUCCUACGGGAGGCAGCAGUGGGGAAUAUUGCACAAUGGGCGAAAGCCUGAUGCAGCAACGCCGCGUGAGGGACGACGGCCUUCGGGUUGUAAACCUCUUUUAGCAGGGAAGAAGCGAAAGUGACGGUACCUGCAGAAAAAGCGCCGGCUAACUACGUG